UCCCCGUUGGCCGGGGCAGUCUCGCCUGAAAAAUCCAACAGACGACAAGGGCUGCGCUCGUUGCGGGACUUAACCCAACAUCUCACAACACGAGCUGACGACAGCCAUGCAGCACCUGUCUCUCGGUUCCCGAAGGCACUCCGCCAUCUCUGGCAGAUCCCGAGGAUGUCAAGGGUAGGUAAGGUUCUUCGCGUUGCAUCGAAUUAAACCACAUGCUCCACCGCUUGUGCGGGCCCCCGUCAAUUCCUUUGAGUUUUAGCCUUGCGGCCGUACUCCCCAGGCGGGGCGCUUAAUGCGUUAGCUACGGCACAGAACGAACAAACGCCGCCCCACACCUAGCGCCCACCGUUUACAGCAUGGACUAC
rnacentral:misc_RNA from 1 species